UUUGAACGCUGGCGGCAGGCCUAACACAUGCAAGUUGAGCGGAGCGGCGGACGGGUGAGUAAUGCCUAUGAAUCUGCCUGGUAGUGGGGGUUACCGUCCGGUACCGGUCGCUAAUUCAGCAUAAUACCCGUUGACCCUAGCUCGGAUUAGCAAGGUGGUGGGGUACACGCCUACCAAGUCGACGAUCCGUAACUGGUCUGAGAGGAUGAUCAGUCAAACUGGAACUGAGACACGGUCCAAGCGACUACGGGAGGCAGCAGGGGGGAAUAUUGGUCAAUGGGCGAAAGCCUGAUCCAGCCAUGCCGCGUGUGUGAGGAAGGUCUUCGGUUUGUAAAGCACUUUAGGUUGGGAGGCGUUACCCUUAGAAGAAGCACCGGCUAACGCCGUGCCAGCAGCCGCGGUAAUAC
rnacentral:rRNA from 1 species